AUGGCUUCUAUGUAGUCAUGGGUGUCCUUGU
rnacentral:piRNA from 1 species